AGAGUUUGAUCAUGGCUCAGAACGAACGCUGGCGGCAGGCUUAACACAUGCAAGUCGAGCGCGUGGCAACACGAGCGGCAGACGGGUGAGUAACGCGUGGGAAUCUACCGGACCCUACGGAAUAACGCAUGGAAACGUGUGCUAAUACCGUAUACGCCCUACGGGGGAAAGAUUUAUCGGGGUUUGAUGAGCCCGCGUUGGAUUAGCUAGUUGGUGGGGUAAAGGCCUACCAAGGCGACGAUCCAUAGCUGGUCUGAGAGGAUGAUCAGCCACAUUGGGACUGGGACACGGCCCAAACUCCUACGGGAGGCAGCAGUGGGGAAUAUUGGACAAUGGGCGCAAGCCUGAUCCAGCCAUGCCGCGUGAGUGAUGAAGGCCCUAGGGUUGUAAAGCUCUUUCACCGGAGAAGAUAAUGACGGUAUCCGGAGAAGAAGCCCCGGCUAACUUCGUGCCAGCAGCCGCGGUAAUACGAAGGGGGCUAGCGUUGUUCGGAAUUACUGGGCGUAAAGCGCACGUAGGCGGACAUUUAAGUCAGGGGUGAAAUCCCGGAGCUCAACUCCGGAACUGCCUUUGAUACUGGGUGUCUUGAGUGUGGAAGAGGUGAGUGGAAUUCCGAGUGUAGAGGUGAAGUUCGUAGAUAUUCGGAGGAACACCAGUGGCGAAGGCGGCUCACUGGUCCAUUACUGACGCUGAGGUGCGAAAGCGUGGGGAGCGAACAGGAUUAGAUACCCCCGUAGUCC
rnacentral:rRNA from 1 species